CCUCCCCCUUUUUUUUACAAAAUACUCAAUAACUCAAAAAUAAAAUUUUGAAUCAUCACCAAAAAGUAUACAGAUCUUAAGAUUAAUAUAACUAAGAAGUGUGUAAAGUUUUAAGCAAUAAUCAUAAAUUGUUUUUGAGAUACGGCGCGACA